UCAAUGUCAAUGAGGGUGCUGUUGAUGGAUCUCCUUCUUUGAAUGAUGCAAUCCCAUAUAUUGUCAAACAUAUGCUAAGGAUCACUACUAGUCCUGCUGCUGCCAAGGAACCAGCUCCCCCUACAAUAACAGUGGCAAUAUUUUCGAUACAAAACUUAGAUAUAUACGCUGUAUACAUAAAUUUUGAAACAAGGACUUUUGAUGGUACAACUCAUGAAACUUUUAGAUCAUCGCCUAAAGAUUCAUUUUGAACAUACUGGAAAAAUCUUAUGAGAAAUGUCAGUACUAAGAGCUAUAUUUGUACAACUUUUAAAAACAAUGACGAAAUCUAAAUAUUGACCGAAAUAGGGACAUGUAUGUAAAUCAAUAGAUGAGUGGUGAGAGUAUAAAUAUUGAACUCAUCAAGUUAAAAUUCUAAGUCCGACUUUACCUGCAAUGGGUGUGUUUCUUAAUGGACCAGUCUUUACGAAUGGCCCAACUAGUAAGAAUCCAUGGGCUAAACCCACUUCUACUCCUCGGAGAAGUGGGUUCACAGCGGUCCGGUAGGCAGGUAAGUUGGACAAGUACCAUGCAAUCAAUGGGCUUGAGGUCACUGGAGUUUCAAGACUUCCAAUGAAGGGGUCACCAUUCAAGGGCUGAAUCACUUGGAAAGUGGGCUGUAAAACCAAGAAAAUGAAAAACAAGACAAAGCAAAGGUGAGAAUUAUUGAGAUCCAACAAACCAAAAGUCCAAUACUAAGAAGAGCUACAUGUCAGAAAUUAUAUAUAUGUAUUAAUGCAUAAAUUGGAGUUUUGAUGUCCAAAGUUACCCGAUAUUUAUGCUGGUAGGAAGUAGCAAAGAACUAAAAGUCUAAUCCAAAAUUUCAAGUUUAUGAGUUCUAAAACGUAGUAACCUUUUUUUGGUUACUAGGUUCUGCAUAUAUUAUUAUGCAAAUUAGGUGUUCUUUUUUAUUAUAGAAACUGAAUCUGGACUGAAAUUAUUGUAUUCUAUCGCACCCAUACCUUAUGGAAUAUCCAAUAAGUGCUCAAACUGACCCCGUCACUACGAUUAUUGAACAUAUGAACUGAAUUUUCUAAACACAAAUGCAGAAUCUACAACAAAAUCUACUGAUUCAACACCCAAAUGAUCGAUACACUAUUGAAUUAGUCAAUGCACGCACGAGCUGAUCCGAACAUCAUAAUCACCCCACCCCAACCAAAAGAAAAAGGUACUUAAAUUCAAAAAGGAAGAGUAAUGAUCAAGUAUCUUACUUUGUCAGCUUGGACAGCCUUUACUGUGAAGCAAGAUUUUCUUGUUGAAGGGAAGAUCUUAAAAGGUGCACCAGAAAUGCCUUUGGGAGUAACAAGGCCACGACCUCUGGUUAACGAUGAAGCGAAGCUACUCUUCAGCUGGCUAGCCAUUGUGGAUGCUGCAGUAGCCAUUUUGGAAAAUAUUGUGUGGCAGUGCUACUGCUUAUUUGAUCAGUUAAGAAUAUAACUAAAGAUACCAACAAGCAAUACAUGGUCCUGUGAUAACUGGCAAAUAAAAUCUUUUGGCUCAAUACAUUUGUGGUUCUGGUGGUGGAUUGACACUUACGUGGGAGUUUAUUAUUGGUCAUUUUAGAAACAUUAUCUCUUAUCCAAACCACAUUGGUCAAGAAUGGAUCACUUAUAGCUGACUCUAUUGUUAAUUUUUACACCACUUAACUAAAUACUCCCUCCGUUCAGUUUUAUUUGUCCACUUUUACGACAAUAACACGUUCAGUGUAUUCUCACAAAAAGAGUCUAAGGAGGAUAGAGUGUGCGCAAACCUUAUCUUUACCUCAAAGGUGACUUAAAGAGGUCGCUUCUGAUAGACCGCGAGUCAAAGGCAAAAACAGACCAGAAAAAUACGUAAUGAAAGUAGAACAGAUAAUAAAUAGUAAAUAAAAAUAACAGACAAUCGUAGAACAAUGCUACACAAAAUAAUACUACAAUGAACCACACAAAACACUAGAUAGCAUCAGAAAUCGAAGAUGAAACUACAAGAGUGAUCCUACGACUACUAGUAAGGACAACAAGACAAUGCAUUCCUACCUAUGAACCUUCAACUUAAUUGUGUCUUCCACACCUUGUCCAUUAUUCCAUUAAAAAAAAAAUCACUUCAACUUGUAACUUUAACAUAUCAAGAAAAAACAAUAAAUUUUUUUUUUUUAUGUAUUACCCUUAGCAUUAACGACUUAUUCUUCAAAUUAUUUUUCAAGAUCUAACAUUAAACAUCAAUUAAUAUGAGUAUUGUUGUAAAACUCAUAUCAAUUAUUAUUUCUUAAGGGGCGUGCAACAUCCAUAUUGGACAAAUAAGACUAAAUGGAGGGAAUACUUGUCAAUUUACGAAACCAAGAUAGAAUUAAUUAUUUUUGUUCCAUUUUAUCCUUACAAUUAUUUUUUGGGGGAAGUGUAAACAAUUGCGUAAAGUUUCAAAAAAGUUUCUUACGAGAUAAAUUAGUAAAACCAUUCUUCCUAUUAUUUAUAAUAUCUUAAUAAUAAGAAGAGAGAGUAAAGUAAUUAAAAAAAUGGGAGAGAGUGUAAUUACUUUUAAAAGGUUGGUAUUUAUGUUAUUUAUACAAAAAGAAAAGUGGACAACUAAUACGGGACAGAAAGGAGUACAACUUGGUGCAAGAGAAAUGGCCACAAAUAUGUUGAAAUUAAAGCGAUUCUAAAAUGCUAGUUGUUGAAAGUUGUUUUAAGAAUGCAACUGUUUUUUUCUUUUUUCUUUAGUUUUUUUUUUUAACGUACAAAUCCUAGUUAAAUUAGGAGUCCUAUCUUUGGUAGGAAACUAAUUAGUUAUUUUAAUUUUUCUUUCUCCUAUUUUUAGUUGUAAUAGCAACUACUUAAGUUGAUAAGUUGGUGGUCAAUUAUAGACGGUCUUUUAACAAGAAAAUAAUCUGUCUCUCUGCAUAUUCUCUUCUUCAAACUCAUCUCUGUUUUAGCGGCUAGUUCUUGAAUUGAAUUCCUAUUAUUUCCCUUUAACGAUUUUUGACCAACGCUAGUGGACCCGUGGUUUUUCCGUAAAACUAGAUAUUUAAUGUAUAUACUUUCUAAAAGUGGUAUAAUAUUGUUUGCUCCCAUCCAUGUUAAAGUGUCUGAUAACCUUUUAGGGGGAUUCAGAACUGAGGCACAAUUAUCAGUUCGAACUAGUGAGGCAUCCGAAAAGAUUAGUCGGACGAUUAGACAUCCAAUCCGUAAUCGCAACAAUCCAAUUGUAAGAGUGGAGCUAGUCAUAUUAUAGUAUUUUUUAAUGCGAUAAAGUUAUGUAGCGUUCAUUUAUCUAUUUAUAACAAAAUAAAUCCAAAAAAGACUAGCUUAAGAUUCAAAACUUCGUAGAUAAAUGAGCGUGACAUGCACCUAACACAUCAUGCAUUGCGCCAUUACCACUAAACUAGAGCGAGGGGUGAGAACUGGAAUCGAGAAUUAAAAUGCGCAGAUACACUACUCGAAGAGCAGCUAAGCUCAUAUCGAUGUUCAAUAUACAACUUUCAUAUCAGUUUAACAUUCAAAGUAGUUACAUCAAUUGAAAAACAUUAGAGAUCUACUUGACAUAGUAAGGAAGAUCAAGGACAUAGAGGAGGAAAUAAGCCCAAGUGACACCAGAAAUUCCACCAAAAAAGAAUCCACCAGUGAACUUGGCCCAUCCAUCUGCAGUCUGCAGUUGAUCAGGCACCUUUUUCCUGCCAGUCAAUGUCAAUGAGGGUGCUGUUGAUGGAUCUCCUUCUUUGAAUGAUGCAAUCCCAUAUAUUGUCAAACAUAUGCUAAGGAUCACUACUAGUCCUGCUGCUGCCAAUGAACCAGCCCCCCCUGCAUACAGUAGCAGAACUAGUUAAAGAUGGUAUACGUUCAGCGGAACUCAAUAUCUUAAGACUAAGGGAGCUUAUUUUGAUACUGUCGUUUAACUUGUACUACCACUUCAGACAUGCAAAUGUCUAAAGUUAUGCUUGAAAAACUUAACUUCAGUUGUCUGAAGUUACGUAUGAAUGAAGUUCAUGCAUUUAAAAAUCCAGUCAUUUUUGUUUGAAUAAACUUUACAUCGAAGUUCAGGACCAAACUUCAGUCAUAUAAAACUUCAACACGAUAUAUCUCAUGUUGUCCCAAAUAGAUACGCAUGUUAAAAAUAAAACCACAAAUUAAAUACUGGUGUCAAAAUCAAAUAUAUGUGUAGUUCACCCAAUGUAAUGAUUGAACUUAUCAAAAAGUUGAAAUUACGAAUCUCUACCUGCAAUGGGUGUGUUUCUUAAUGGACCAGUCUUUACGAAUGGCCCAACUAAUAAGAAUCCAUGGGCUAGACCCACUUCUACUCCUCGGAGAAGUGGGUUCACAGCGGUCCGGUAGGCAGGUAAGUUGGACAAGUACCAUGCAAUCAAUGGGCUUGAGGUCACUGGAGUUUCAAGACUUCCAAUGAAAGGGUCACCAUUCAGGGGCUGAAUCACUUGGAAAGUGGGCUGUAAAGGUAAAUAAAGAAGACAAGCACAUGAAUUAGUGAGAAUCAUUGAGAACCAAUCGAAUGUCGAUAAUGAUGGAGUCAGAAUUUUAAUUAAAAAUUUCAAAAAUUUUAAAAAGGGUUUCAUGGUCUAAAGGGGUUCGAUUGGAUUUCUUUUAUCGAAAAAUUAAAUUAGAUCAUGCGUAUAGCCAAUGCACCCAAAGCUCCUCGAUCAUAUGUUAUAGGGAUUCAACAAUAUCUUUUUAUGUAUGUAUGUUAUGGGGAUUCAACAAUUUCUAUAUAUUGUUUUAGGUAGCAUAUGUUUGAAUCUCAUGUGUAACAUGUAACAUUUUUUGAAUCUCCUCGUUAGAAUUCCGGGCUUUCUCACUAACAGAAAGAAAAUAUUGAAAAUCAAGAAUAUAUAAAUAAGAAUAGUGAUUUACUUUGUCAGCUUGGACAGCCUUGACUGUGAAGCAAGAUUUUCUUGUUGAAGGGAAGAUCUUAAAAGGUGCACCAGAAAUGCCUUUGGGAGUAACAAGGCCAUGACCUCUGGUUAACGAUGAAGCGAAGCUACUCUUCAGCUGGCUGGCCAUCGUGGAUGCUGCAGUAGCCAUUUUGGAAAAUAUUGUUGGACACCUAAGUCAGCCAGGAAUAUAACUAAAAUUCAAACAUGAAUAUAGGAAUUUUUUUAAUUGUUGCUGACAAGACAAAAUCUGUUGCUCACAAAAUUUGUGGCUCUGAAGGUGGAUGACUCUUACGUGGGAGGUUGUGAUUGGGUCUAAAGUAAUAAAACGUUAUCCCUUAUCCAUACCUCAUUGGUGAAGAAUGGAUGAUCUAUGAUAGAUGAGUACUCCUACUGGCUUUUUGAGUUAAAAACUUCUCUGUGAUCAAAAUCUAAAUUUUACAUUAUUAGAUCACUUUGAAGAUUAUUAGGAAUAAUGACCCAUAUAGUAAUAAUAAGUAAAAGAGUAAGUAGCUCAACGAAUUUAAUCCUCGAAAGAGAGAACUCGUGUCAUUAGUAAUUGGAUUCCGUCUCUUCACAUUAAAUUACGGGGAAGUCAUUCACAUCAUGAUCAUCUAAACGUAGCGUCUUGCUUGCUUAGCUUACAAAGACAACAUUUUAGUAAAGUAAUUCUAAUUCAUUAGGACAUCCUCAAAUGAAAGAACACUAGCAAGUAGUAACCCAACUAGUUUAUAUGUACAUUUUCAGUAGACAUCAAACAGCAACAUAUAGAUAAAUCAGAUACGUCAACAACUAUUUCUUUCUUUUCAAAGUCAACAUUUUGGACUGUUGCACAAAAAGGGUAAGCCAAAUUCGUUAGUUCAUAAAUAAGACCAUUUGAAGUCACUGAAUUGUGAGUCAAGAGACAUCAAGAAAAGCAUUAGUAAGGAACCACUUUUAACAUGAGAUUAAUAGAUAUAAAGAUAAAAGACAGUGCAUAUAUUCAAAGAUCAAACAUCAGCUUUCACACCAGAUUAGAAAUUGACAAGGCUACAUUCAGUAUUUAAUUUGCUCACACGAGCAAAUUAAGCAAACUCCAAGGUUAAACACUAAAUAGUUAAAGGGAUAAUCAUCAAAGUUUCCUGAUUUAGUGCAGGUAAGAAGCCUGGUAAUGGUAGCCAUUUCCAAAAAAGUCAUGGCCAGGAGAGAAGUUGUAAGCAGGAGCACCCAUGAAUGGUGGAACGUGGGCGCUGGUCGGUCCAGGAUAAGCAUACGGUACGUCAUAAACGGGUUGCGGGUAUCUAUCAGUCAUUCUGGGAUAGAAGUUCUUCUCAGCGACGACGUUAUUAACUCGGGGGCCAUUUCCGACACCAUUGGGACGAGGUCUUUUGGAUUGAGGUUUUGCAACUUCAUUUGCCUUUUUCUUGUCUGCCUUCGCUUUCUCCAGCUGAAGAACCCUUUUCUGAAGGGGAUCCACAGGGUAUUGCUCCUCAAGCUUAUGGUCUUCAAUGCAUUUUAAUACGGCCUUUAGUGCAGACAACUCUUUCUCAUUGACUUCAUUCUGGAGAAAAAACAAUUAAUUAUCCCAAAUGCAGGUCGCUUCUGGAGAAAAUGAUCAGCUGGGAAAUUUAGCACUAAAUGCAAGAGCAUCAACUGCACAAACCUUGCCUAUACUUAUUUGUCCGCCCCGUCCACACCCCCAGAGACGGAUUGGAUUUACUUUCUGGGAAAGGGUGUCACGUGACAUUGCUUUGUCGGAAAAUCUCAUUACGUACAUAUACACUCUUACACAUGAAAUGACUUACAUAGAACAAAAUGACCCCACUUUACAGCAAGCCUGGAAUGGAUUAAGGUGCCUCUUUUAUUUGAUUGAGGUGAGUGUUUAAUCCUCGUGUAGUGUAGUAUUUCUAACAUUUUUGCGCCUCUUUUGGCAAUAGAGAAAAUAGCAAUCAAGGGGUAUUGAACCCCUGGCCUUUUAUACGGUAAAAAUUAACUAAAUCCAUGAUAUCUAACUAUAAACAUCCUCUUGAAUGAAAGCCAUUAUCUCAUAUGAUAUGCAAAAAAAUAAUUUCAGCUAUCUUAAAAUGCUGGUGAUUCCACCUCUUUAAAUUGCAAUUUAUGCACAUUUUUGAGUUUCCUAAAAUGAUAUUUUACCAUUCGUUCACUUAUAAAAUUGUGACACCGCUUACUGCAUACGCCACUGCACCGCCCAAAGGAACAGGAGGAAAAAAGAGGUUUUUAUACAUAUGACUCCAUGACACAGCAGGAAAUACUGAACAGGCUUCAUUUUGGAAGCAAAAUGAUUAAAAAAAUGCCAAGUCAAAAUUAUACCAAGGCACAAGGAACAAACCUGCACAGUAGGUGAUGCAUUUCCAGAAUUGAGAGGUGUAGAUGCUUUGCUAGCAUCAUUCAAGUAGGAUUUCAGUAGAGAAACAGGAGGAAACUGCUCUGUCAGCUCAAAUGCAAAAGCUAGAUUAACAGCAUCUAUAUGUCUUCCAUUACUUAUCAACACAUCAAUAACACCUGUAUAGAUGCAAGCAACAAAACAUUCAAACAGAUGAGAGAUAUGAAUUCUACUUCUUUCUUUCUUUAUUUCUCUCUUUUUUUCCUUUUUUGACGAGUAAGAAUGACUAAUAAAGUAUCUUCACUAUGUCAGUUCUCUAAAAAAACAACUACGUGUAACCAUUUUAUACUAAAGUAUGGAUUGUAACCUAGAAAAGAAGGGUAAGUAACUUGCUACAACAUGUUAAAAAUGUUUUACACCGUCAAUGUAUAAAAGUUAAUUGUUCCUGUUAGUAAAAGUCCAAAAAAAGAAAGGUUAUCACCAAAAAACAAAGGAUCUAACAUGUGAUAUAUUCCUUUGUACCCUAGUAUCGGGUGAAUUUCGUUAUGUGCUUCAAAUCGCUUUAUCGUUCUACCUUUAUAUGUUACUUCCUAUUUUUAAAGCUGUUCGUUCGUAUUAAAUUAAUUUCUUGAAUUGUAAACUCCAGAUAAAUUAAGACUUUCUACAAGAUAGAUGUGUACACUGCAUUCUGUAACGUCAAUUUUUACCAUGAUAUGAUCAUUUUUAAACCAUCAUAACGAAAACGAUUAAAAAGGAAAGAGAACAGAUGAUAAAGAGACCGUAACAAACUCGUCAAAAAUAGAAAAAGUAGAAAAAACCCUUGAGCAGUAAUUGUACUAUUUAUGGAAUCUAACCUGGCAUACUGUCAGAUAAUCCAAGGGAACGACAGAGAUCAGCUGUUUGGCGACGACGUGAAACCAUGGGUAUCAGCUUGGAUAAUUUUUCCUGGUUAAAAUUGGAAUUAACGCUGAAAGUCGCAAGUAGCUGUAAGAAUGCAUGAGCCUCCAAAGAAUUCCCACUAUUUGCAUCAACGUCAAGUUCAUCCAACUUUGGGGUCCACUCCUCAGCGAUAGCUUUUGCACGUCCUUUCAUAUUUUCUGAUAUUAUACUUGAAAUGGAAUCGAUUUCAAGGGUGUUCAAUAAAGUACUAAGGCAUUCCAUCAACAUAAUACAAGUUCGCCGGAGUCCCAAAAGAUUAGCAUCUUUUUUAGCAUCAGAAAUUGACACAUCAGAGUUGUAAAACCCGCUCAGUGAGUCCAGAACCAGAGAGGCAGGAUUGGCUGCAGCUCUUAAAGCAAGUGGAAUCUCAUCCCUGAGAGCUGCCAGGUUUUUACGGUUGUCUGAUAUGAAUUUGUGGAGGCCUUCAGCAUCCAUAUUUCGGCAUAGAUUCACCAGCUCUGGAUAAGACUUAACUUCCACAACACCACCCUGAAAAGGUUUCCAGGUAUCCUCUGUAACAUGCCCAAUAUCAAUGGAAGUAUCAGUUUUUUCUUCCAGAACAAAUGGCUCAUCUUGAUCUUCACAAUUAAUAACAGCUGGUUCCACAGAACAAGGUUUCCUAUGCUUCUCCAGAGCAAUUGCAAUAGCGGAAACUGCUGCAUCUCUUUUCUCCUGGAGCCUUUGAAGUGAAGCUUGCUCUUUAGCAAUAACAGCUGCUUGGCGCUUCUCCAACAUCACUGUAGAUCGAACAAUUUUUGUCUCAAACUCCUUCUCUUGGUCUUCCAGCUCCGUGAAACGCCUCUUCAAGGACUUCUGAAGCCCAUGAAAGUGCUCUUCAAGUUGCUUCCACUGCAGGUUGAGAGUAACAGCGCGGUGACUUUCCAACUCAGAGAAUGCUUUCUGUAGUUGUUGUAUCUUAGAUGUUGUGGAAUCCAUCAAUGUUGCAACGGAUUGUGUAUCUUCCAUGGCGGAAACUCCCUGAUAAACUAUUUGAAAUUUUAGUAAAUGCUUUUGAGAUGAUUGUGAUAGAGCAACAAAAUGUGCAUACUUUUGUUCGAAGUAGUGGUAUAGACUGCGUACAUCUCAACCCCCCAGACCCUAGGAAUACACUGGGUUUGUUAUUGUUAUUGUUGUAAAAAUCUCAAAACCUAAAUUUUUCUUCUUAUAAACCAGAUAAGUCCCUUCGUCUUUUCUUUUUAUUCAAAGCAUGUCAGAGUUGGUCAAAGGUGCUCCUAAGUAAUUUGACAUUAUCAAGGCUAUAGUCUUUCCCAGUAUAAAAUACCCAAAAACAAUAACAACAUGCCAAGAAUUUCCCCACAAAGUGUGGGGUCUGGAGAGGGUAAAGUGUACGCAGUCCAUACCACUACCUCAGAUUGAGGUAGAGAGGUUGUUUCCGAUGGACAAUAUAAAACACCCGCUACUCAUUUUUAAGAUGUUGCUGAGAACCCAAAAUUUGAUCAUAGUUUCAGUUUUUUCACCCAUAGCCAAAAAGAGAGAAAAUUGCAGAUCCAAAUGAGAAAAACAGUUAUUUUUCAGGUGUGUAUGUCUCUGGGGCGGGAGGGUGGCGGGAGGGUAUUUGCAGUUGGCAAUUUAAACAGAACAUGGUUUAGUGUUGAGUACUCGAAAGAAUAUAAACCCAGGACUGCAUUAUCUUCAACUUGUAUAUUGUCUAACAUCACUAGGUUACGGUUAAAAAGCUGGUCAAACCCGUAGUUGCCAUUGAUAAUAGAAAGUUGUGAUCUCUUUCAUAUCUUGAAUUACCAUGUCAAAAUUAUCAUAAAAAGACUAAUUCACUCAGCUCCUCAUAGUUAAUAUUGGAAAAGACAAUAGAAUGCUAGAUCGCAAAAUGCAUGCAUGCAGUAAAAAGCAAAAACUACGUCAAAUCAAGGCAAACCUUGCCAUAUUUGAUUAUUUCCCCUAUCCAUUCUGGUAUGAGAUGAAACAUAAUGAUCAUUUCCUUGACAUCGUAUAUCCUCCUUCAGUAGAACAUUGUUUUCCCCUGAUCAAAACUACUAAAUUAAGCCUACAACUACUGAGUACACAUAAAUGUGUUGAUUUUUUUUAAAAAAAAGGGGCAGCUUGGUGGACUAAAGCCCCUGCUAUGCACAGUAUCCGGGGAAUGGCCCGACCAUAAGGGUCUAUUGUACAUAGUCUUACCCUGCUUUUCUGCCAGAGGCUGUUUCCAAGGCUUAUUCCCGUGACCUACUGGUCAAAUGGCAGCAACUUUACCAGACACCAGUAACUGUGUUGAUUCUGAGAAAAAUUUACAAUCCGAAAAGAGGAAAACCAAGUCUCUGUCAAAAGAAACGCUUUGACAAAGGGCAGACAUGACAGGUUACAUGUGGAAUCAAACAACAAGUAACUUGAAAUUCAGGAUCAACAGAUACAGAUAAAAAAAAUAUACUCCAUAGAAUGCAUUGAGAAAAUAUCACGUUACUAAAGAGCUAUAAGGAAACACAAAAAACUUAACACAAAUCGUCACAUAAAUAUAUACUACUAUUUUUUUAACGAGCCGGCAAAACUGAGCUUGCAGCUAUAAAAGUUCGGCGAAAGAGAACCGGCAGCAACAUACCCGUGAACAGACAGUAUAAUUUCAGCAAGACUCAAGUAAUCACCAGUAAACAAUACUGACAAUCUACAAAAUACACUGACAAAAAAAAAAAUCAAAAAAAAAAAAAAAAACAAACAAAAAAAAAAAAAAAAAAAAAAAAAAAAAAAAAAACUCAUCGCAACAACAAAUGAAGCUCCAACUAACAUUCAAACAAGCAAAACUUCACAAAUAUUAAAUAAAAAUCACAACUCUACUAGCUAAUUGUUAACAUAAACACUUGAUCUGAAGCUACUGAGUGACAAUAACGAAGCACAAUACAGCAAAUGAAAGAGAAUUAUAGAGUGAGCUUACACGAUCUGCGGCGGUGAGAGGUGUCGGUGGCAGAAUACGCCGGAGAAUUUAGACCAUUUCGGAGGGUUUUGGUGAAAGGAAAAAGAGGAAAGUGGAAAUGGAAGAGUACAAUUUUUAUUAUACAGAGAGCUACCCGACAAAGACCACUCACUCACGCAGACAGCGCACAACCCACAAUCAGUGAAUAAAGAGCUUCAGUUAUGCAGUACAUUUCCUUUACAGCUUUUUUAAAAAUUAACAAUUAUCCCAUUUUAAUUUAUUUGUUUGAUUAACUUAACUAAAUUUUGUUAGAAAAAAUGUAUCAAAAAUGCAUAAUAUAUGAAGAAGACUGCAAAGAUGAAGAUUUAGUAACCGUUUCAUCAUAAAAACUAUUUUUUUCGGAGUUGAAGAUGAAAAUGAAGUUGGAGGUGCAGUUGUGGUCUUUUUGAAAUUUUUUUUUAUACUUUUGAAAACACUUUUUAAAAUAUGAUUUUAUACUCUCAAUUUUUAAAAAAUUAUCAAAAUUACUCAAUUAAUAAUUUACCUACUAACAUAUAAUCAAAUGUUGAGAAAAUAAUUUAUAUGUCUUCAAUUGAUAAAAUAAUUAACAACAAAUUAAUUAUUAUGAUUGUUAUUCUUUUAAAAUUUGAAUAAAAAUAUCACAAGCACGAGCUAAAUAAAUUUAUCCAACCAUAAUCGAUUGAAUAGAUAAAAUAUAUUUUGAUAAAUAUGGUUGAUGGAUAUAAAUAUAUUUUAUAUAUUCAUAAAUUUGUUGAUGAAUAUUCUUAAUUACUUUUACUUGAAUUAAUUAUUUUAUUGAAUUUGAUCUUUUUAAAAAAAAUUAUGGAUAAAUUAUUUUUGAAUAGAUUAGUGUUAAUUUUUGUUUUUUCUUUAUUGAUGAUAUUGAUUUUUCUUGAAUAUUUUAUUUUUUUUUGGUAAAGAGAAUAAACUUUUGUUAAGCUAAUUAUCACGCUCGUCUUUGUUGAAAAUCCAUAAAACCAAAAUAAGGUAAUCGUCAAUAUGGAUCGUUAUGUUCUGUUUGAUAUGCGACGUUAUUGACCACUUUUUAAUAAUUUAUUAAAAUCAUCAUAGUCAUUAUAUGACAUAUACAGAAAAUUAGAAUGACAAGAAAAAAAUAUUAAAUUUCUCAUUUUUAAAUAAUAUAAUAUACUAGGCCUUAUAUUUCUAUAAUAUAGUUCAUUCAAAAUAAAAGUUGAUAUAUUUUCGUCAUAGAUUGUCAUUAUUAUUUUUUACUUUACAUUAGUAAAUUUUGGUUAAAAUAAGAAAAAAAAAUUAGAAUAUCUGUAACAAUUUAAAAUGAUGUUGUACUAUAGAAAAUAAAUAAUAAUUUUUUUUGGUGGUUGGUUAUAGUUUGUGUAAAAAUUUAAAGAUCGGAGUUAUAUGUAAUAAUAAUGAAAGUUAGAAAUGGAAGUGAAAAUUCGUGAAAAUAACAAAAAGUUGUUUUCACUUUUUGGGAUCCAACUCCGAAAUAAUUUUUUAAAUUUUCAUGGCCAAACACCAUAAUUUUAGAAAAAGUGAAAAAAAAAAUUAAAAAGUUUGGAAAAAAGGGAAAAAAAUUAUGGCCAAACGGGCUCUUAGUAGUCGUUUGGCCAUAGAAUUUUUUUUUUUUGAAAAAUUAUUUCACUUUAGUGAAAAAAGUGAAAUAUCGCUGCGUUCCAUGAAUUUUCCAACUCCAAUUUCAGUAAAUUAUUUAGAAAAGUAAAAACAAGUUUUACUUAUUUUUAUUUUUUUCUCUCAUACUUAUCUCGCAAAAUUUUAAAAAUAACUUUAAUUUAUAUUCAUGGUCAAACACAACUUCAACUCUAACUCCAACUUCAUCUUCAACUCCAACUCUAAAAAAAACAAAGUAAAUUUCAUGACCAAACGGGGCCUUAAUAAUCUAAACAACUAACCCAGAGUGAAAAGACUUGAAAUACAGAAGUGGUAUGUAUGUAUGUAUUCACAACAUUCCACAAAAUCUCUUUUCUUUUUCAAAUGGUCAAGUUCAAUAAUAAUUUUUAUUUUUGAGAAGAAUUUUUUACUAUUUACUAAAACUAAUUGCAUAUAAUUUUAUAGCAAUCUCACAAAGAAAAAAAAAAGUCAAUAUCGUUUUUAGAAAAAUGUUACGUACGUAUUUCAAGAAUUUAACUCUAUGUUCUGUCAUUCAUAUUAUUAACUCUUUAUUUUGUAUUUUUCUUUAUAUAAUUUUUGUGUUCGUGACAUAUUUUCCAACAAAUUUUAAAUAGGUAGAAAAUAUUUUAAAAUUUUGUGAUUUUAAGUUGAAGAUAUGUGAAAUAUAUAAAAAGUAAUUUUUUUUUAAUUUUGUACUGUUACAUAUGUCAUUUGAAAAACUAAAAUUAAAGAGUCAUUUGCAAAAAGAAAGACAGUUAUCUUCAUAAGGUAGGAAUAAAUAAAACAUGUUUAUAUUCUAUAAAUACACUUGAAAUCUCACUAGAUAUGUUAUUGUCAACAAAGAAAAGAUAGUAUUCUCCUUUAAUUCGAUCAAAAAGAAAAGUACGACAAAAAAUAUAGAAUAAUUACUUCUUUUUAAAUAUUUUUUGAUUCUUUUUAUCCCAAUUUUCUAUUGUAUUGUACAAUGAUUUAGAAUAUCUUUUACGAAGAAAAAAGUUAAAUAUGUAGAUUUUAUUUUACAUAUUUUAGAAAUUUCAUAUUGAAAUGAUUAAAAUUAAAAAGUUUUAACUUUUAAAAUCUGAAUAUCGUCAUGUAGAUUAAAACAUAAAGAAUAGUAAUUUGCAUAUGCGUCCACUACUCACUUGUCAUACUUAGCCUAAGUUUUUUUGGAUUUCUUAUUUGUUAUCGGGGUCUAUCUCUAAGCAAUAAUGCCUUAAAACAAGGAGUUUCCGACCACUUGACUGUAAGUAGAAAAGGUCAUUGAGAAAGUCUCUUUUUAUUCAUUUGUAAAGAACUCUGUUCUAUCUCUUCCUUUGUUACAAGCUAAAAUGUGAUAUGAAAUCCUCAAUAUAUACUUCCUUCAUUCUACGAAUCAUUCUUGAUUAUGAACUUUAUUCGCGAAAGAAUCGAACUUUUGGCAUGCUAGUCCUUUUUUAUGUGCCGCUAUAUUUCGAAUGAGAAAUCAUCCAAAAAUAAAUUUUGCUAUAAUUAUCUUUCACCAGCACAAAUAAUGUAUAAUCCUGUCCACCAAACUUAAGCAAAUGAAAUGAAGAUAUUUUUUUAUCUCGAUUAAUAUUUUUAAAAAUUUUAAGCAAUGGAAUAUGAACAAUGUUUAUCAAAGUGUUUCCUCCUCGCUAUCUACAAAUUAUUAGUCCCAAACAAUUUUAUAUGUUCAGUAACAUGGUUCAAUCAUAUUAUUACUAUCUUGAGUGAUUUUUAAACCAUUUAACAUAGUCGCGAAUCAAAAUUAAUUUAUAGCUUAAUUAUCCAAAUUUUUGGGUUCAAAAUGUGCAAUUUGAUUAGUGGAAAGGUCAAAUUAUAGCUCAAUUUGAUUUGGACAAAUGUUCCUAUCCAUUCAGUGUAAUCAAACCUUUUUUAAAGUUAAAGGUUCAUCAACUUUAAUAAAAAUCCCAUGUAUGAAUGAAUCAAUACUAUUUCAAAAUUGGCUAGGUUUUUUGGGCAAUGUUAUACUACUUUAUCAAAAAAAUAAAUAAAAAAUAAUAAAAUAAUCUAACAGCGAGAAACUCGAAAAUCUUUCCGAAAAUCUACUCGAUUCGCUAAAAACCAUUCAAAACGCGACUUAGCAAAAAUUAAAUGCUAUAAGUGCAAUCAAUACGGUCAUAUUUCUCCGAAUUGUAAAUUGCAAAAAUUGAAAACUCUGAAUCUUCCUGAUGACAUUCAGAAUCAAGUCUAUAAUUUAUUGUACACUUCUGAUUCUGACUCCGAUUCAGACUCCACUUCUGAGAAUGAUUUUCAACUUCCGGACUCUGAUGAUCACCGCGAAAACACUGAUAAAUGUGUUGAUUGUGAUAAUCGUGACUGUAAUUGUGCUGAAGAAAUGUACAAACUUCAAGCUCAAUUUGAAGAUAUUGGCUUACAUAUGAAAACCAUCACUACCGAAAAUGUUCUUGAAUUGUUAAAAGAAAUUACGGACGAAAAGCUUCGUGAUAAAAUUCUGCAUUUAGCUACUCAAAAGUCGUCCUCUUCUGCCUCUAGUUCUACCGUUUCAACACGAGACAGUUUUGAAACUCAGCCUAUGGCAUACUCUUUGGAUGAAGUUCAUCGAAGGUUAGCUUUAAGUAAAAUUCCUGGUAGAGAUACCACUUUUCAUGAUUUAAAGGUCGAAGUUGAAAAACUAAAACGCGAAAUCAUUUCUUUAAAACAAGAUCAGAUAAUUACUGAUCAUCGCAUUUCAAAGCUUGAAGAGACCGAUUCUUUACAUUCUUCAGGUCAUCGGCCGAAAGAGCCAAAAGAAAAGGAUUCUGAAAACACCACUCCUUGUCAAACGAGUAAUACUGAAACUCUGCAUAAUGAUUCUUUUCUAGGGAUGUUACAAAUUGUUACUGCACACAAAUGGUAUAUCAAUUGUACCAUUUUAGUCAAUAAAGAAUUCUUUAUCACUAAUGUCGCCAUGAUUGACAGUGGGGCCGACGUUAGUUGUAUUCAAGAAGGAUUAAUCCCUACAAAGUACUUUGAAAAAACUACUCACCUAGUUAAGUCUGCAACUGGACACUCUCUUGACAUAAAUUAUAAACUACCUCAUGCCCAUAUUUGUCGAGAUAAGUCUUGUAUUCCUCACUUUUUCUUUCUCGUAAAAAAUCAGAUUUAUCCUCCUAUUAUUUUAGGAACCCCGUUUAUAAAUGCUAUAUAUCCCUACACUCAUAUUGACGAAAAGGGAUUUAGCGCUACUUAUAAAAAUCAGCCUAUCUCCUAUUCUUUUAUUACUCAACCCGUCACUCGCGAUAUUAACGCUCUUAUUAAUAUAAAACAAAAACAACUUAAUUUUUUACAAUUAGAAGUAAUGAGUAUUUCUACCCCUGAAAUUAUAAAAUCUGUUAAAAUACAAGAAAAAUUAAAAACUGUUUCCUCACAAUUAAUGAAUGAUAUUUGUGCUGACCAUCCUAACGCUUUCUGGAGUCGAAAACGGCAUAUUGUUUCACUUCCCUAUGAAGACGGCUUCACUGAAGAAAGAAUUCCAACAAAAUCUCGACCAUGUCAGAUGAAUGCCGAAUUAGUUGAAUUCUGUAAAAGAGAGAUUGAUCAUCUCCUGCAAAAGGGUCUCAUCAAACCCUCAAAAUCUCCUUGGUCUUGUACCGCUUUCUAUGUUAAUAAUGCUGCCGAAAAGGAAAGAGGUACACCUCGAUUAGUCAUCAAUUAUAAACCUCUUAACAAAGUUUUAAAAUGGAUUCGAUAUCCUAUUCCAAAUAAAAAGGAUUUACUUUCCCGACUUUAUGACGCUAACAUAUUUUCUAAAUUUGAUCUAAAAUCAGGAUAUUGGCAAAUUCAAAUUGAUAAAUCUCAUACUUAUAAAACCGCUUUUAAUGUUCCAUUUGGUCAGUAUGAAUGGAACGUUAUGCCUUUUGGUCUGAAAAACGCUCCCUCUGAAUUUCAGAAAAUUAUGAAUGAUAUUUUUAAUCCAUACAUGGACUUUAUUGUGGUAUACAUUGAUGAUAUUCUAGUAUUCUCCAAAACGCUUGACAAUCAUUUUAAACAUCUGCAUAUUUUUAAACAAGUAAUCAUUCAAACUGGCUUAGUUAUUUCCAAGCCAAAAAUGAAUUUAUUCCAGACUAGUAUUAGAUUCUUAGGUCAUAAUAUUUGCCAAGGUUUUAUUGAGCCAAUUCAGCGAGUCCUAGAAUUCGCUACAAAAUUCCCAGAUGAAAUUACAGAUAAAAAACAGCUUCAAAGGUUCCUCGGAAGUCUCAAUUAUAUUUCUCCUUUUUAUAAAAAUUUGUCUAGAGAUUUGGCUCCGCUGUAUGACAGACUGAAAAAGGAUCAGAAAACUCCGUGGACGACGGCCCACACCGAAUUGGUAAAGAUGAUUAAAACUCGUGUUCAAUCUCUUCCCUGUAUCUCUCUUGCUAAUCCUAAUUGGCAAAAAAUUGUUGAAACCGACGCUUCCAAUAUUGGAUAUGGUGGAAUACUUAAACAAGUUAAUCCCCAUACAAAAACAGAAUGCUUAAUUCGUUUUUAUUCAGGAAAAUGGACCGAUAGCCAAAAGAAAUAUGCUACGAUAGCCCAUGAAAUGCUUACUAUUGUUAAAUGUGUAUUAAAAUUCCAAGAUGAUCUUUAUAACCAGAAAUUCAUCAUCCGAACGGAUGCUCAAUCUGUUAAAUUCAUGUUUGAUAAGGACUUUAAACACGAUGCUUCUAAAUUAAUAUUUGCCAGAUGGCAGGCUCAACUAGCCCCUUUUGACUUCGAAAUACAGUAUAAAAGGGGUAAUGAAAACUCCUUACCUGAUUUCCUAUCAAGAGAAUAUUUAACAUGACAAUUUACACUACCUUUUUCUCUGAAAAAACCUUAAUUACCAUUUUUAAAACUAUCCCUUUACCCCCUGAUAUUCAGAAACAUCUCUUAGAUCUUCUAAUUUCUAAACUCAUUCAAGAUGACGCCUGGUGGUAUAAUUUUAUUCACAGCGAAUUCUGGUGGUAUGCCCAUCCUCAAAACUCUGAAGAAAUUACUGACUGGUAUGAUAUUGAUACUUUUGAUCACUAAUUGCAGAAUGACAGAUCCUCCCUGGCAGACAGCCAGAGGACGUGGUCGUGGCAGACACCAAAAUCCUGCAUAUUCUCAGUAUGGCGGACGCACCAAUCCAGCAUAUUUCCACCAAAGAAGUACCGCAAGAAAUUCUGCAUAUAGCACAUCAAAUUCUAAUUUCCCUGUCCUCCAACAAGGAAAUAAAACUCUGAUUAAUUCGAGAAUAUCUCAAGAUGAGGCCUCCUCCUCUGAUACUCAAACUCCGAAUAUUAAUCUGGAUGAUAUUCCCGAAACACAUCCGUUAUUUCAGCAAAUAAAAUCAUAUUUGGCUGAAAAAGGAAAAGCUGCAGAUUCGUUUGCUUCAAUUGUGACAGAAAACUCUGAAAAUAAACUNNNNNNNNNNNNNNNNNNNNNNNNNNNNNNNNNNNNNNNNNNNNNNNNNNNNNNNNNNNNNNNNNNNNNNNNNNNNNNNNNNNNNNNNNNNNNNNNNNNNNNNNNNNNNNNNNNNNNNNNNNNNNNNNNNNNNNNNNNNNNNNNNNNNNNNNNNNNNNNNNNNNNNNNNNNNNNNNNNNNNNNNNNNNNNNNNNNNNNNNNNNNNNNNNNNNNNNNNNNNNNNNNNNNNNNNNNNNNNNNNNNNNNNNNNNNNNNNNNNNGAAAUCUCCCUAUGGGACCUCAAGGGCAAACUAUUGCCAACUUUACCUAUUGGGACUACAUCAAAGCUUUUUCUCAAGUCUUUUAUUACAACAAUUAUAAACAUAAACACACUUGGUUCAUUAAAAUAUGUUCCAAAGUAUUUGAAAAAUCAGUCCCUAACUGGUUUAUUCACUGGUGGACACAGCACGGACCUUCCACAAAAAUUUUACCGCCUGAAUAUUUUUCCCUUUACACCUCCUGGAAAAAAUCCUCUCCAUUUUUAACAGAGUUAUAUCAUUCAGAUCACAUCUGCAAAUUGGAUACCAUCGACCAAAUGUAUUUUUUCAUUGAAUUUUCUAUUCCCUGGAUCCAUAAAUGGUCGAUCGAAAUUGGCUAUAAUGCUCAACAAAUCCCAGCCAUCUACCGAACUUUUUACUGUAAUUUCUGGGAUAAACUCUUACGAAUUGAUCCAGUAACUAAACUAUCUUAUGGACAUGACCAACGGGAAGAAAUGAAGCAAAAAAUCGCAGCCUAUACUCAGCUUCCUAAAAUGAGUAUUCUCAUUGAAGAUAAAUCUAUCAACUAUGUCUCCAGACGAAUUUCAGCUCACGAUGGCAACAAGCUCCAAAUGAUUGAAGAAUAUUUGGCUGAAGUUAAGAACAAGCUAUUGCUUAACAUCGAACAAUCUUCAGAUACUUCCAUGAAUAGCACUGAGGCAACUACAGAUGAUAUCACCGACUCUCAGCCUCCUGAAACACUCAAUGAAGCAGAAGUAUUAGCCAAUGCUGCCGAAUUCUUAAAGUGGGGACACAAUGCUAAAUAAAUACUGUUGUAAUAACAUUAUUAGAAAAACACUGCUGUAAUAGUAAAAAUACUGUAGAAACACUGUGCACAGGGACCCAUAUAUUACUGUGCAAGAUUCUUUUAUCUUUCUAUAUAAGGCACCUCACUUCCUUCGAAGAGAGCAAGCCUUUCUCUCUCUCUCUCUUAUCUUUCUUUGUAAAAACCUUGUGGAAAUAAAAGAAAAGUUUUGUGGUACUAUUCCGACUUCGUAGUAUUAUUCCGACUUCAGUAAUCCAGGUAUUCUUUUACUCAUUAAGUUUUAUCUACUUUUUCUCUUGUACGCCGUGACUAUGUCCGGCUAAACCCCUUUUUAUGUUCAUCCUACCGUGGUAGCCCCCUCACGUAUGUUAAUCAUGCCAGAUCCCGACUCUACUUAGAUAUUAAAGAACUAUUUAGAAUUAUCCGACUUGGUUCCAGAAUGGAGGUACAGUCGAGAUCAGUAAAGCUUUGUCUCAGUGACUUCGUCUAGAGAGUUGUGCCACUAAAGCCCGUAUCAAUGGAAAUUCGAGGGCUAAUCCUAGCACAAUUAGAACUUCUAGACUCAUGGGCUUAUUGAUCUUUGACAGACCCCUUGUCUGGGUAAAAGAAUUUUACCAUACAGUCAGAAAUUCUAUUUACUUCUUUUAUAUUUCGGUUGGAACAUGCUUUGGUUCGGUUUUCCGACUUUAGCUUUAUCCGAUAUUAUUACUUGGUCUGGAUUGGCUCAGCGGCAUACCCGAGCCUCAGAGAUCCUGUAAAUGGUAUUAUACAUUAAAAAAUUAAAUCCUUCUUAAACUAUCAAAAUUUUGUAAAUUUCAUACAUAUGGAUUUUUUGGUGUGAGGUAUAAGGUCUAACAAAUUACAUGAUAAAAUAUAGGAUAAUUUUAUUUUGUAUUUGAUUGGAGGUAUUAGUUAGUCCCUGAAUUGUUUAUCCCGCCAUUUAUAUCAUAAUAGUGAGAUAGGUUAUCCCAUACAUGUGGGACAACUAAUUUAAGGAUAGCAAAUCCCGUGAUAACUUAUUCUCGACUAAUUUCUCUCUUCAUUUAUCUUUACUUGUUCGCUUUCUUAUGACACUAGGAUUAAAAAAUAAUAAAUGAUAGGAAUAAUUUUAUCAUAUUACCCUUUGAAUGUAAUUAAUUUAAUGCCUUGAGAAAUACAUUAGAUAAUAAAUCGUAUUUAAUGUUAAAGAUAAAAUAUGUAAAAAUAGGUAAACUAUCAGUUGUUUUAUAAAUGGACAAUUAUUAUUAGGACAUCUUAAAAUAAAAAAAGUAGAUAAAUAAAAAUGAACAGAUAGAGUAUUUGUUAUUUUAAAACAAUAUGUUUAAUUUAUGAAAGUUUCUCAUUAAUAAAUGAUUGAGUUAUUAACCCACUUAAAAAUUACUUAGAUUGAAGUAGACUAAAAUACAUUCAUUCAAAGUUGAACGAAUUGAACAUGUUAUAUUUUCAUAGUUCAGUUUUAUCACCUCUAAUUUCUCUUGGAGUGUUGCCGAAAAUGAAAAUUACAUACUCCCUCCGUUUUAAAAAAGAACGAUCUAUUUUGACUUGACAUGAAGUUUAAGAAAAUAAAAAAAGACUUUUGAAUCUUGUAGUCUCAAAUUAAAGUUGUGUCAAAUGUACCAAAAUGCGCUUUAAUCUUGUGGUCCUAAAUAUGUCACGUGAAAAUUAGAAUUAAAGUACUGUAAAAAAAAAAGUAAUUUUUUUCAAACGAAGUAAAAAGGAAAGUAGAUCAUUCGUUUUUAAAUGGAGGGAGCAUUUUACAAAUGAGAAAGAUUCCAAAAUAUUGUUUGUUGGUUUUGGGUUAGGCAAUGUUAAACCAAUAUUAAUAAUUAAUUAGGCAUUUGAAGGUCAAUUCAAUUCAUUAAUUACAAUGAGAAAAACAUGUUAAGCAAAAUCAUCCAGUAUUUUUCAAAGUUGAUUAUACGUUUGUACUUUGGAUCAAACUUUACGCCUAACACGUGCAACACAAUAUAUGUAUACUAAUUACUCCCUCUAUUAUUAGUUACUAAUUUAGUACUUAUAGACUAGCUUAAAUAAAAGAAAUGUACAUAAAAAAGCUUUACUGAAAGAAAGUAGUAACCACUUCUUUUUUUUUUUUUCCUUUAAUCUACACCUUUUGAUCAUAGUUGAUAUGACAAAUUUUAAAAUCUUCUGAUCUAUUAUGAAUAAAUCUAUUAGCACAAUCAAUCAGUCGUUAGGAGUAAAUGAGCGAAUUUCACUCUUUUUUAUUUAUGUAUUUUCAAGAGAAUCUAAUGAUAAUCAUAAAUAUAUCAUAUUUAUUUAGAAACCUGAUCAAAACACAAUAAAAAGAAAUGUCGACGAUACAAAAUGAAUGAAAUAAAUUUCUUGAAAUUAAAUUGAUAUUAUUAUUAUUUAUGUUUUUCUCGUCGGCUCUCAUCAAUAGAUCAUCCCACCUUAUCACAUACUCCCUCCGUCUCAUUUUAUAUGUCGUUAUUUGACCAAACACGGAUAAGUGAUGACUUUUGUGAAGCUCACGCAUUUGCUCCUCUUAAAGAUUACUUUUUAAUUGUCUUUUUUUAUAAAAUGGGACUUACUAAGGAUAAAAUAGGAAUUAUGCCAUUAAAUAGUUAUCAAAUAAAAAAAAAUGACAUUCUUUUUUAAAUUAAUAAAAAAAAAUAACGACACAUAAAAUAAAAUAGAGGGAGUAUUAUGUAUUAUAUACUUAUUUUUUAAUUUGAUAACCCAACAAGACUUUUUUUUACAUUAAUAUUAUCGUGCUUGACCCUUCAAGAAUAAUAUGCAAGAAUUUAAAAGAAAAAAAAAAUGAAAUCACUAAAAUAAACAUAAAAAACAAAAACAAAGAAAGUAGCAAAAUAAUGGAAUGUGGACCAAAAAAAGUGCAAUAUUAAAUAAAAAAAUAUAAUGUUACUCCUUCUACUAAUUAGGUUCAGGUGUGAAAAAGAGCCUAAAAGUCAGAAAGUCAUCAUCUUUUUUCUUCAUUUUCAAUACUUCCAUUUCAAUCUUCCACUAAUUUUCCCUUUUCAUUUUAUUUGAUUUAUUUUAAAAAAACAUAAUUAAUAAUUCGAUUUAAAAUUUCAAUAUAUUAAUCCAUUAAUAAUAUUAAUCUAGUAAGAGAAAUAUUCAAUCAAUUUUUUUUACCCUUGAAUUAUGGCUAAACUAUUUUGACUUUUUUUUUAUCAUACCUUUAUACUAACACAACGCUUUUAUUAUAAAAUUUACAUCAAAGAUGUCACGUCAGCUUAAAAAAUAUCAUAUCAGUUAAAAAAAAUGAUAAAAAUAUAUUAAAAUUGAGUUGAGAAAUAAUAGAAUCCUAUAAAACUAGAGUGCAUUGUAUUUAGUUGUAGUUCAAAGAGAUAUUAAAUAUUUUUUUUUAUUAAUUGAAAAAUAUUUUUUAAAAUAAAUAUAUCAAAUCAACAAGAACCAAAUAAUAUGAAAGGAAAAGUACAUUUAUAAUUAUAUUUUGGUAAAAAGAUAGUAAAAGUAGAUAAAAAAAAUAAUUAUGGCAUUCACACAGUGAACAGCAAGUCAAGCAACUGGUCGUCGCCUGUCACUUUCUUUUUUUUUUACUUUCCAAUUUUUUUCCAAUCACUUUUUUUUUUUCCAUUUUCUUAGUUUUAGUUCUCAUUUUCUCACUUGUUAGCCUUCUUUCUUUGACCAAAAGAAAAAAAGAAAAAAAACUAUAUCACCAAAAAUACUCUCUUUUUUUUUUCCUUAAGUGCUUGUUUAUUGACCCUCAAGAUCCAGCAUUUUGUAGCCUAAACUGGGGAGUAAGUAUUGUUUUUGGGUAUUUUUAUGUUCAAUUUGUUUAUUGGUAUAAUUCUUGUACCUAAUUGUUUUUAAUUUUUAAUUAAAAAUUGUUUCUUUAUUAUGUUGUUGGCUGUUUUGUUGUUCUUUUGACUAAUAAGUACUUGGGUAAUUUGAUGAAUUUUGAAAAGUUCUGGAGUUAUAUUAUGGAAUAUUGAAGUUGAAUUUGGAUGUUUGUUUAUUGAUCUUUAAGUAUUUCUAGGCUUAUUUUUUGGUGCAUAUAUUGAGUUCUUAUAAAAAGAUUGUUUCUUUAUUCUGUUGGUAGCUGCUUUGAAUAAGGACUUGGUAAUUUGUUGAAUCUUGCAAGUUGUAUAUAAAAGUUCUGGACUUAUGUUUCUGUAAAUUGAGUUUGAUUUUUUUUUUUGGGGGUAUUUAUACCUAAUUCUUAUAAAAAAACUGUUUCUUUAUUCUGUUGGUAGCUGUUUUGAAUGAAGGCUUGGUCAUUUGUUGAAUCUUGAAAGUUGUAUAGAAAAGCUCUGGAUUAUAUUUUUGGAAAUUGAAGUUGAAUUUGGCCUUUUGUUGUUUGAUCUUCAGAACCCUUUCUUAGUUUUGUUUUAUAUCAAGUAGGGGCCUUUUUUUCUUAUUGAACUAGGAAAGGGGUUUAUUAUUUGUUGAAAUUUGGAAGUCAUGGUCAAAAAGCUCUAAACUUUGAAAUUUCUAAAGUUGAAAUUUGCUCUCUUGUUGUUUGAUAUCCAGAACCUUUUAUGGGUUCUGUGAACCGUACUUGUUCGACUUUAUUGUAUAUCAAGUAGAGGGCUUUUUUCUUUUUCAACUUUUUUCUUGGAGGUGUGAACUUUGUGUUUGUGGCUUUGUUAGGUGAGGUUGAAUCAUCUUUGAAUAAAGUUUUUUGGGGUUUUUGUUUAUAUGGGCUGUUUUUUUCGUUUUCAACUACCACGGGAAGGUCUUUAUGCUUUUCGCUGUAGAUGAUCAUGUUUUCCCUUUUUUAUACCUUCUGUGAUAUGCUGUACUCGAGCCGAGGGUCCUCCAGAAACAAACUCUGUACCUCAACGAGGUAGGGGUGAGGUCUGCAUACACUCUACCCUCCCCAGACUACACUUGUGGAAUUUCACUGGGUAUGUUGUUGUUGUUGUAGAUGAUCAUAUGAAUCAUCUCAUAAUUGAAGUUUUCUGUUGUUGACGAUAGUGUUAUGUAAUUUUUCUGGGCAUCCACUUGGAUUGCUGCCGCUAUUGUGCCUUUUCUCUUGCCCAGUCUCUUUUGCCUCCUUGUUUGCCGUUUAUUCCAUUAAAAUCUGUGAGGAACAGUUUUCUGCUUGUAUCUGACUUGUCCUAUAAUCUUUAUUUUGGUUGUCCUGUAAGCAUGGGAUUUGAGCACCUCUAGUUCUGGCGAAUCACUAUUUUGCUAAAUUAUUCAGUAUUGAUAUGAAAUGGGACCAAAAAGGGGGAUGGAUACACAGACUCAUAUAGUUUUUUCUGGCUAGUUUGGAAGUGACGCAUAGUUGAUUAAUUGAUAAAACUGACUCGUCAUCGUAUUUUUUCGCCUGCGUUCUUAAAUUUUCCUUCAACAUUUUCUAGGUUACUGGAUUUAACUCAGGAGAAAAUGGAUUUGUUUUUGCAAUGCAUUUUUCCGGGGGUGCCUAGUUUAUAAAGACCUAAGAUGUUUCAGUCAACUGCUUAAUUAGGACCUUUGACUGUUGUGGUUAUGACUGGGCCCCUCGCCAAGAUGGUUUUGGACAACAGAGCUCUUACCACACUUGCUGCUAUUUUGAUCUACUUGAUCUUGAGUUGCGCUGUUUGCUGUGCUGUUCAAAGCGACAUUGACUGUCUGAGAUCUAUAAAAGAUUCAUUAGAAGAUCCAAAUAAUACUUUGAGCUAUACAUGGAAGUUCGAUAAUCUGACGGAAGGUUUCAUUUGCAAGUUUGCUGGGAUUCAGUGCUGGCAUCCUGAUGAAAAUAAGGUUCUGAGUAUCAGUCUUCCUGACAUGGGUCUCAAGGGCAGGUUUCCACUUGGUCUUCGGAAUUGCACCUCUAUGACAUCAUUAGAUCUUUCGAGCAACAAUCUCCAUGGAAGCAUUCCAUCUGAUAUCUCCAAAUAUAUAGGUUUCGUGGUAACCCUGGAUCUCUCAUCUAACCAACUAUCAGGGGAAAUCCCAGUUAAUCUUGCAAACUGCUCUUUUUUGAAUAACCUUAAACUUGAAAACAACCAGUUUACGGGUCAAAUCCCUCCAGAAAUUGGCCUGCUUGGUCGCCUCAAAACUUUUAAUGUAGCAAACAAUCGAUUGACUGGACCAGUUCCACAUUUCAUAAAUGCAACUGUUCCUGCAGAGAGCUAUGCCAAUAAUCCCGGACUGUGUGGAGAACCGUUAGAUCCUUGCCAGGGUACUUCUAAGAAACCCCCUACCGCAAUCAUUGUCGGUGCAGCUGUUGGUGGGGUAAGUUUAGGUGCUGUAUUUUUGGCCAUCGGUAUGUUCUUCUAUAUGAGAAGGAUAUCCAGGAAGAGGAAGAAGGAUGAUGAUCCUGAAGGGAAUAAAUGGGCGAAGAGUAUUAAGGGUAAAAAGGCAAUCCAGGUAAGAAUUUUAACUUCUCUGAAUCAUUAAAAACUGUCUCGUUACUGAAAUUCCUAUUCGUCCUUUGUUGAUACGUCAAAAAAACAAUUUUAGUGGGUUGUGGUUUUUUUUAUGAACUAUAGUGUAGCAUUGGAGGGGAGCCUUGGAGUAACUGGUAAAGUUGCUGUCAUGUGACCAGGAGGUCACGGGUUCAAGCCUUGGAAACAGCCUCUGGCAGAAAUGCAAGGUAAGGCUGGGUACGAUACACCCUUGUGGUGGGGCCCUUCCCCGGACACCGCGCAUAGCGGUUGCUUUAGUGCACCGGGCUGCCCUUUACAGUGUGGCAUUGUGGUCAUAUUUAGAACCAUAAACUCGUCUUUUCAUAGAAGCAUUUAACUAAUGAAUUUUCACCUGCUCCGCUGCUCGUGUGUGAUUUUUCUCUUGUUCAAGUUUUCUUAAUUGACUUAAGGUUCCUUAUUUUCAGCUUUCAAUGUUUGAGAAGUCUACUUCAAAAAUGAGAUUUAGUGAUCUUAUGAAGGCCACUGACAGCUUCAACAAAAACAAUAUUAUCGGGUCAGGAAGAACCGGGACUUUUUACAAAGCAGUACUUGAUGAUGGCACUUCACUUAUGGUUAAGAGGUUGCAGAAUACUCAACACUCAGAGAAAGAGUUUAUGUCCGAGAUGGCUACAUUGGGAAAUGUAAAGCAUCGUAAUCUGGUUCCUCUUUUAGGUUUCUGCAUUGCCAAAAAAGAAAGGCUGUUGGUCUACAAAGACAUGCCAAAUGGAACCUUGCAUGAUAGGUUACAUUCGGUGAGUGAAGGCGAAAAAACUCUAGAGUGGCCUAUAAGAUUAAAAAUAGGCAUUGGAGCAGCCAAAGGAUUUGCAUGGCUUCACCACAACUGCAAUCCUCGUAUCAUUCACAGAAAUAUUAGUUCUAAAUGCAUCUUGCUGGAUGUGGAAUUUGAACCUAGGAUAUCAGAUUUUGGGCUUGCCAGGCUAAUGAAUCCAAUUGACACUCAUUUGAGUACCUUUGUCAAUGGAGAAUUCGGGGACUUCGGUUAUGUUGCUCCUGAGUACACACGAACUCUCAUGGCUACUCCAAAAGGUGAUGUGUACAGUUUCGGUGUUGUACUUCUCGAGUUAGUUACUGGUGAGAAACCGACCUCUGUCACCAAAGCUCCCGAGACCUUUAAGGGGAAUUUGGUGGAAUGGAUCACACAACUCUCCGGUGAAUCUAAGCUUCAAGAUGCGAUUGACCAUUCAUUGUCUGGUAAAGGUUAUGACAAUGAGAUCUUCCAGGUCCUUAAAGUUGCUUGUCGAUGUGUGUUGUCUCCUGUUCCUAAGGAGAGGCCGACAAUGUUUGAAGUUUACCAGCUUCUGAGAGCCAUCGGAGAGCGAUAUCAUUUCACAACUGAUGAUGACAUUUUGAUGCUUUCAGAGAGUGAUGGCGGAUUCCAAAUGGACGAGCUCAUUGUUGCUCAAUAAGUAAACGACACCCUCGAUCUGGUUGAGUAAGAUACAGUAAUUUAUCAGAUCAUUUUCUAUCCUGUACAAAUACCACUUUCAGUAUCAUAUAUAGAUCAUUGUACUCUUAAGUCCCUUCUUCAUAGCUACCCAACUAUGUAAUCUGUGUUGCUUUUUCUGUAUUUCUAAUGGUGAAGAGAUUUCUACAAAUCUGAUGUCUCUGUCUACCUCUUUUCUUCUUUUGUUUUUUUUAAUGAAACAAAAAAUAGAUGUUAGUCAGCUCUUUUCAGAUCCUUGUACUAAGGUAUUGCUGCUUGAACAAUGUAAUCUGGUCUUCCAGUAGUUAUAAAAUGCUAAGUGAAAUAAAAGGAUGGCAAAUUUUAAAGCUGAUGUGAGAUGUGAUCUUCAUGUUGUCAACAAGUAAUGCAGACCAACAAUUUGAACUUCUCUCCAACAUGGAAGUUGGAAAAACUCUUUAUCACUCAAAGCUGAUUCUAAACAUUUGAAGACUUCCUAUUUUAUAGUAUUUCGUAAAGUUAGACAAAUACAAAGAAUACGACCCCACUUGUGAAAUUACACCUUGGUAUACUAUCCCAAGGUCUGGGGUCAAUCAAGGUUGGUUGAUGAAGAUUCAAAUUGGACCUUCCUAUUUAGGAUGUGAUAAUGAUAUUAUUUUCACCAUUUGAUAAUCUUUUUGCUACUCUGGAAGUGGUUUUUGCAACUUACAAACACAUAGGUUUCUAAAUCUUGCUCUACACCCAUACAAAAGGAUAAAGAAUUUCUAACAUAUUAUACAGUGAUCUAUAUAAUACACAAACUUAAAAGAAAGUCUAGGUGCACAAUCUCAGGCAAACUCCUACAAGGCCUUUUAUAGCAGAUUACAUUGGUUUUGGCUAAAAGCAAAAACUAGGGGUUGCCUGUUAUGACCAAACAACACCUACUAAGCAGAGGAGUAUUCUUCAUCAGAGGAGGAACUGUGCUGCCGUUUAGCUGUGUAUCGGCUAGUGACAGGUUGUUGAUUUGGAUUAACUGGAACUGGGAAUUUAUGAGCGGAGCUAACUAUUGUCCGCUCAUUUAUCAUUCCAACUUCCUUGCAAACCCGAUCAAGAAUCACUAGGAAGUCUUUGACCACCAUGAAGGUUCUAAAAGGGUGAGCCUCUUCUCUAGCUGAAUCUCCAUGGAAAUACUCGGUUAUUUCCUUCACCAGUGACAUGGCUAAUGUUUCUUGAGCUUGGAGCCUUACAAUCUUCUCUUCUGCUACGUUCAUGAACCUGUUCAUGGACUCGGAGAAUUUUUUAGUACUGCUUUCCUCCAAUCCAACGGCUUCAAUGGAUCCAACAACCUCUGCAAUGUUUCUGAUUCCCUUGGAAAGCUUUAAAAGAUCACUGUGGAGCACUUCUGAAUCCAUGGCAGCAGCAUUUUUAACAUUCAUAAGCUCUGAACUAAUGUUGGAAACAACUUGGAGGCCAAGUUUCCGGCACUCAGCAUCAUCAUUAGUGGCAGACUGUUCGUUCUGAUUUGCUCCGGAAAGACGAGCACCUUCACCUUUUAUAAUCUCCUGAAUCACAAAAUGCAAAAGGGUUGUUUUCCCAUCUGCCCCCUUGACAUCUACAAGCUUCAGCAGUGUGUCAAGUUUGAAGGCAUGAGCAUCCCCCCUGUUUGUCCCAACAUUCAUGCGGUUCCCCGUCUUUAGCACGGCUUCCAGAAGCUUUAAGAACAUUCUGCUACUUCUCAACUCUUCACAUGCUGCCUGUAAUAGGAAAGCUUUAUAAGGACAUAAUUCACAACUUGUAUUCUCGCGAUAAAAUUAAAGAGCUUCAGCCAGUUCACAAGGGAGAACCAAUAUUUCCGGAGUUUGAUUUUUCAAGAUACAAACUUGUUUGCAUCCCUUUAAGUCGUUAGAGUUGAGCAUCAAUACAUAACACAAGUUUUCUUCUGAUCAAAAUCAAAAUUCUUCUCUUGAAUAGAUAAUCAAUAACAAGCAGAAGCUGAAGAUGACUUGAAAUAAUUACCUCGAGAGUUUCAAAUGACUUCCUGAGAUAGUCGACCUCGUAAUCAAAAUUUGAUAUAUAUAGCAUAGCAUCUACCCUUUGGAACGCAAAAGGUAUAUCAAGCAUUGCUUUCAGAAACUUCUCUGCUGGACCGAGCUUGAAUGGAGAAUCAUCUUUGUACUCUUUUAGCUUACGUUCUUCCUCUUUGGAUGGAGCCAUCUUCAAUAAAAUCUCAAGGAGCUCAGUCCCAAUAAUUUCAGCAUUACCUGAACAGAAAAUGUAACUUAUUACUGCUGUCUAUUCUCCUAAAGCCCAAACUUCUGUCUACUGAUGAAACCAUUAAAGAACAGCUAUUGAUGGUAGAACCUCUUCCUAUCGAUGAAACCAUCAAAGAACAUUUUUUUAAGGUAAAGUUGCUACCAUCCUUGGGAGCAAAGGAGCAUAACUUUUAGCAAGAUACACUAGUACCCCUGGCUUUACCAUCUAAAGCAUUGUGACCAUCUAACAAUACAUUAGCUUACUACAAUAAGAGCCAUGCAAUUUAAUAUGAGAAAGCUAUCCAGUAAUCAAUCAUUUGUUCAAAUAUUAACUAGGUGAAUUUGCCUCCGUUAGUACUCAGCAGAAGGUUCUAUUUGGCAACAUUAAACACACUUCAUUCCAUUUUCCAGCUCUUAAUUUCAAUUCAGAGAGGGAUUUAACUUAUACAAACCCACCAAACGCAAAGAAUUAUUACAGUACGAAUCACUUUAACCUAUUUCUCACCCAUGGUUAUCUUUUAUAGGUCAACCUAAUAGCAUAAAGAUUGAUGUAUUUAAGUUAAACUCUUCAUUUUAGGUGAAAAUGCUGAAUACCUUCUAAAAGGGCUUCACAUAUUUCCUCUGUGGUUACGUUUAGGGCCCUCAGCAAAAUUGCAAUGUUCUGCGCCUUCUUUGGAUCAAGUACCCUAUUCUCUUGGUUCGGUGAAGGAACAAGGCGUCUAGCUGUGUCAUUUGUAUUCGAAGUAGGAGUCUUCACAACAAACAAUGUUUCUAUCAUCUCUUCAUUCAACCUGCAAACAAAGGGCAGUGAAUAUCCGUUAUCAAAUUUUACACAGUAGUAAGUCAUGUUGCUCGGACUCUCCAAAAAUGUUGUUGAACCCAUGUCAGAUCAUCCAAAAAUGGAUUCAACAUGCCCAGUGAGGCAUUUUUGAAGAGUCUGAGCAACCAAGGUAGUAAGAGUUACAGGUUAUCAUACUUAAAUGAGCUUGAUUUCAGUUGAUCCCACACCAUUUCGCGAUCCGAACUUGCUCUCACUUUAUCCCAAUGCAAAGUUUUCAACUUUGGUUUAGGCUCUUCAGUUUUCUCAUCAUUCUUCUCAACAUGUUCUGAAAUAGAAGGCAACUCCUUUGCUGAAACCAAUACUGGCCUCUCAACUCCUAUGGGUCUCAAAGGUGCUUCAAGAACUGGUUCCAUAUUCUUAGGAAGCCGCGGUGGCGGCGGCGGUGGUGGACGUGGCGGUGGUGGAACAGAAGCUGGUGCAGCAUGCUGUAUGUGAUUUCUAAUUCUUCCUGGAAACUGAACAUCCUGCUCCAAGAGAUUGAAAACUCCCGGAGAUGAGUCCAUGCUUCUAGUUGAAUAUCUCUCCGGAGAUAACGAACUACGCGGUGAUAGCGAUGGUGACGGAGAUGGAGAUUCUACAAAUGGUGGCACAUUAGCCGUCGGCCGUGGCAGUGGAGGAGGAGGAGGUGGAUACUGAGGUGGUGGAGCAGUGUCAACAGCCACCAAUUCAGGCGAUUUAGCUCUUAAAUUUUCCCUUUUCGGACUCAAACUCGCUGGUGGCGAAAUGCUCAAUGAUACAGACCGGACAGGCGAACCAGACCCGGAACUGGAUGACGAACUAGAAGAAGACGAGCUACAACCACCAAACUUGUCAACUUCAACAGCAGCAAAAUCUCUACGGGACAAUGAUCCACCUCCUAUAGAACUCUCUCUACCGCCCAUAGAUCCCGCAGAAGAGUAAAAAUCCACAUCAUUCUCAGCAGUACCCGAGAAAAACCUCGUAUGCCCAUAAUUCUGUCUCGCAUUCCUUCCAAGUAGAGGCGGCAAUGGAUGUAACUCUGGCGAUUCCAUUUUCCCAGCUGGACUCUGGUUACUACUGUUAUUCCGAAUAUUAGUAUUGUUAUUAUGUGUGUCAACGCUGCUGCCAUGAGAGUUAACAAGUGUACCUAAGUAGAGAAACUCUGAACUUGUUUGAGAUGGUCUUUCAAGUUUCGGAAUACUAUUGUUGUUAUUGUUUCCAUCAUUCUUAUUAUCAUUAUCACCAUUAAACCCAAUACUAUUACUAUCAGAUCUUUGAGGUUUUGGGUUAUUCUCUUUCCUCCUUUUUCUUAUAUGCAAGAAGAUCACAAUAGCUAGAACAAGUACAGCGGCAAUGACAGAGAUAACAGCAGUUACAAUGAGCUUAGACGAAACCGGCUUAGAUUUGGAAGUAGUUGGAAGCAUAAUAGAAGAGACAUUUGCAGGUACUGAAGUGGUAUCAGGAGGAGGAAGUGGAGGAGCUGGAGGAGAAGGGUAAGUAGGGAAAAAGGGGUUGUCAUUGUUGUUUUUGUUGUCAUCAUCUGGAGGUGGAGGAGGAAUGGAACCUUGAAAUGGGUACUCAGUGGGGGAUGGGGGUGAGGGGGUGGGUGGUUGUGAAGGAGGUGGUGAGUCUAAUGGGAAAAAGGGUUCAUGGAGAACACGGCGGUUGUUGGUGGAGAUGAUGGUGGUGGCAGUGGCAAGUGAUGAGUAGUAGUAACAGAACAAGAAGACGAAGAAAAUGGAAACCACCAUUGUUAACAAGAUUCUUUCUUUUAGAAAAAAAAAGAAAAGAGCACUUUAUGAAUCAAGAAUCAAGAACAAGUUCCUUACUGUUGAGCAUAUUAUCUUUGUGUUUGGAUUCUUUAUAAGUGACUAACGAAAGCUUUAGUACAUG
rnacentral:lncRNA from 1 species